GCCGGUGUGGCGAAAUGGCAGACGCGGCAGACUCAAAAUCUGUUUCCCGCAAGGGAGUGUUGGUUCGAGUCCGACCACCGGCACCA
rnacentral:tRNA from 1 species